rnacentral:rRNA from 1 species
GACGAACGCUGGCGGCGCGCCUAACACAUGCAAGUCGAACGGAGACAGGGAGGAGCUUGCUCCACCCUGUCUGAGUGGCGGACGGGUGAGUAACGCGUGAGUAACCUGCCUUAAAGAGGGGGAUAACGUCUGGAAACGGACGCUAAUACCGCAUGACAUACGGAGAUGGCAUCAUAACCGUAUCAAAGGAGGAAUCCGCUUUAAGAUGGACUCGCGUCCAAUUAGCUGGUUGGUGAGGUAACGGCUCACCAAGGCGACGAUUGGUAGCCGGACUGAGAGGUUGAACGGCCACAUUGGGACUGAGACACGGCCCAGACUCCUACGGGAGGCAGCAGUGGGGAAUAUUGCACAAUGGGGGGAACCCUGAUGCAGCGACGCCGCGUGAGGGAAGAAGGUUUUCGGAUUGUAAACCUCUGUCCUUGGUGACGAU